rnacentral:rRNA from 1 species
AGGACGAACGCUGGCGGCGUGCUUAACACAUGCAAGUCGAACGAGGCGCUUGCGCCUAGUGGCGAACGGGUGAGUAACACGUGAGCAACCUGCCCUUGGCUCUGGGAUAGCCUCCGGAAACGGGGAUUAAUACCGGACAUGACCCGUGAUUGCAUGAUCACGGGUGGAAAGUUUUUCGGCCAGGGAUGGGCUCGCGGCCUAUCAGCUUGUUGGGGGGUAACGCCCACCAAGGCGACGACGGGUA